GGGAGGAACACAUAGAGGAGGGGAUGAUGAAGCACCGAGGGAGUGGAUCCUUCGGACAAAGAGGGAGACCCGGGCUGAGUGGUCACCAGGCGGAGGCUCUGGAAUCUGAACUUUACUCCGGGGAGGAGGCGCGGAGUGAGGAGGAGUCGGGGCCAAGCCGCUGGGCCGGCCCAGGGCUCCCCGCCGCCCCGGGGCAUCACCCCCGUGCGAGAAGGUAGAUGGUGUUAGAGUCCGGAGACAGGAUGUAGGGGUCGAGGAGACCUAGGCAAUGGGCUGCCGGGGCCAGGGCGCAGGUCGGGAAGGGGGACGGGUUGCGGGGCUGCUUCAGACUGCGGCUGGGCCUGACAG
rnacentral:lncRNA from 1 species